GAUGAACGCUGGCGGCGUGCCUAAUACAUGCAAGUCGAGCGAAGCGGGGACGGGUGAGUAAUACGUGGAUAACUUCUUAUAAGACUGGGUAAAUAUCGGGAAACCUGAGCUCAACCGAUUACUUCUCGAUUGAUCCGGGCUCCAUUAGCUAGUUGUUAAGGUAACGGCUUACCAAGGCUACGAUGCAUAGCCGGCCUGAGAGGGUGAUCGGCCACACUGGAACUGAGACACGGUCCAGACUCCUACGGGAGGCAGCAGUAGGGAAUCUUCCGCAAUGGGCGAAAGCCUGACGGAGCAACGCCGCGUGAGUGAUGAAGGUCUUCGGAUCGUAAAACUCUGUUAUUAGGGAAGCGGUACCUAAUCAGAAAGCCCCGGCUAACUACGUGCCAGCAGCCGCGGUAAUAC
rnacentral:rRNA from 1 species